AAGGGGCAGGAGUGAUCCCCAGAGCCGGUGCUGGGUGGGGUGGGGGGUGGCUGUCCCCGGCCAGUGUCCCUGCACAGGGGACUGUGCGUCUGCCAAGUGUCACACCGGUGCCCGCUGACCCCCGCGCCCUGACCCUGACCCCCGCGCCCUGCCGCAGCUCUACUCCUCCUGGCACAGCCUGAACAAGGUGUGGACGGAGCGCAACGCCCGCCUCGAGGAGCAGCUCCAGGCCUCCCUCAGCUACCAGGAGACCAUGCAGCGGCUGCUGGAGUGGCUGGAGGCAGCCGAGCUGCGCAUCGCUGGGGAGUUCCUGGUCGGGGGAGACCCGGCCGUGGUGCAGCAGCAGCUGGCGGAGCUGAAGGAGUUCAAGCGGGAGCUCUACCAGUGCAAGGUGGACGUGGAGAGCCUGCGGCACCAGGCCGGCCCGGGGGGCGCGGGGCUGGGGGACCCCCCGGCCCCCCUCAGCCACUUCCGCCAGCGCUGGGACCGUCUGGAGGAGGAGAUCGUCGACCGGCAGGUAGGGAGGGGGCCCAGGCGGGGCGGGGGCAGAGCUGGCAGGGGGGCUGCUGUCCUGGCCCCGGGGGCUCGGGGAGGUUCUGGUGGCCC
rnacentral:lncRNA from 1 species